rnacentral:tRNA from 1 species
UAGGGUACAGCUCAGUAGUGGAGUGCAUGCUUAGCAUGCAGGAGGUCCUGGAUUCAAUCCCCAGUACCUCAG